rnacentral:rRNA from 1 species
AAACUUUCAACAACGGAUCUCUUGGUUCUGGCAUCCAUGAAGAACGCAGCGAAAUGCGAUAAGUAAUGUGAAUUGCAGAAUUCAGUGAAUCAUCGAAUCUUUGAACGCACAUUGCGCCCGCCGGUAUUCCGGCGGGCAUGCCUGUUCGAGCGUCAUUU